UUCUCGCGAGAAACUGGACAUCUCUCGCUGCUCGCUCUGUUGUCUCGCGAGGGUUCUCUCUGGGUGGACGUGUGUGGUCGUUUUGGCUGUCUGGACGAGCCCUUGUACCUGAACCGGAAUCCCUUCGGCUUUUACCUGGAAAUACUGAUUUAGUCCCAACCAUGUGGGGUAUGCUGAGUACACAGAGGUUUGAUUCCCCGUCUGGGAAGAUUCCACAUGUUAUGGAGCAACUAAGCCCCUGCACACCACUGCUGAAACCCAUGCACGCUGCAGCCAGCAAGUCACAGUUACUGAAGCCCAUGUGCCUGCAGCCUGUGCUCUCCAACCAGAGAAGCCACUGCAGAGAAGCCGGUGCACUGCAGCCAGAGAGGACCCCUGCUCUCCGCAACUAGAGAAAGGCCACACGCCACAAUGAAGACACGACACGGCCAAAAAUAAAUAAACAUAGCAAUGUGCACAGGUCAGAAUGGGACCUUUGGAAGGAGGUCACCAUUAUCCUCAUUACCUCCACCAUGGUUUCAGUUCAGUUGCUCAGUCGUGUCCAACUCUUUGCGACCCCAUGGACUACAGCACGCCAGGCCUCCCUGUCCAUCACCAGCUCCUGGAGUUUACUCAAACUCAUGUCCAUCGAGUCAGUGACACCAUCCAACCAUCUCAUCCUCUGUUGUCCCCUUCUCCUCCCACCUUCAAUCUUUCCCAGCAUCAGGGUCUUUUCAAAUCAGUCAGUUCUUUGCAUCCGGUGGCCAAAGUAUUGAAGUUUCAGCUUCAGCAUCAGUCCUUCCAAUGAACACUCAUGUCUGAUUUCCUUUAGGAUGGACUGGCUAGAUCUCCUUGCAGUUCAAGGGACUCUCAAGAGUCUUCUCCAACACCACAGUUCAAAAGCAUCAAUUCUUCUGCACUCAGCUUUCUUUAUAGUCCAACUCUCACAUCCAUAUGUGACUACUAGAAAAACCAUAGCUUUGACUAUACAGACCUUUGUUGGCGAAGUGGUAUCUCUGCUUUUUAACAUGCUGUCUAGAUUUAUCGUAGCUUUUCUUCCAAGAAGCAAGCGUCUUUUAAUUUCAUGACUUCAGUCACCAUCGGCAGUGAUUCUGCAGCCCUAGAAUAUAAAAUCUGCUAUUGUUUCCACUUUUUCCCCAUGGUCAAUUUCUAUUGUCUGAGGAAGGCCAAGAACUCUAGUUGGUAACAUAGACAUAGGGGUAUGGGGGAAUGGGGACUUAGUGCUUAAUGGGGAUGGAUUUUAAGACAGGGAUGAAGAAAAAGAUCUGGAAGAGGAUGGUGGGGAUGGUUGUACAACGUGUGUGUGUGUGUGUGUGUGUGUGUGUGUGCUCAAUGUCACUGAACUGCACACUUAAAACUGGUUAAGAUGGUGUGUUUCGUGUUAUACAUGUAU